AUGGGGGAUGUAGUUCUCCAUGCAGGGGAUGAUGGGAGAUGUAGUUCUCUAAUCAGAGGAUGAUGGGAGAUGUAGUUCUCCAUGCAGUGGGAUGAUGGGGGAUGUAGUUCUCCAUGCAGGGGAUGAUGGGAGAUGUAGUUAUCUAUGCAGGGGGAUGAUGGGAGAUGUAGUUCUCCAUGCAGGGGAUGAUGGGAGAUGUAGUUCUCCAUGCAGGGGAUGAUGGGAGAUGCAGUUAUCCAUGCAGUGGGAUGAUGGGGGAUGUAGUUCUCCAUGCAGUGGGAUGAUGGGAGAUGUAGUUAUCCAUGCAGUGGGAUGAUGGGGGAUGUAGUUCUCCAUGCAGGGGAUGAUGGGAGAUGUAGUUAUCUGUGCAGAGGAUGAUGGGAGAUGUAGUUCUCCAUGCAGUGUGAUGCAGAGAUCCUACAUGUCCCUUCCCAGUAGAGGAAGCAGACUC